CGAAAAUCCGAUGGUUCUUCAUAUGCUGAAAUGUUUGGUGUUCGGAAGAUAACAAAACAAAGGGAUGAACUAGAAUUUACAAGGUCAUUGGAAGAAAUAAGUAGCCUUCCUAAGGCAACAGAUACAAAAAAUGUCAGAUUGUCAAGGAAGCAACUGGAAAAGUUAACAAGAG